AUGGCUCAGGAUGAACGCUGGCGGCGUGCUUAACACAUGCAAGUCGAACGGAGUAUUGAAAGCUUGCUUUGAAUAACUUAGUGGCGGACGGGUGAGUAACGCGUGGGUAACCUGCCUUAUACCGGGGGACAACAGUUGGAAACGACUGCUAAUACCGCAUAAGCGCACAAGAAGGCAUCUUCUAGUGUGAAAAAACUCCGGUGGUAUAAGAUGGACCCGCGUCUGAUUAGCCAGUUGGCGGUGUAACGGACCACCAAAGCGACGAUCAGUAGCCGGCCUGAGAGGGCAAACGGCCACAUUGGGACUGAGACACGGCCCAAACUCCUACGGGAGGCAGCAGUGGGGAAUAUUGCACAAUGGAGGAAACUCUGAUGCCAGCGACGCCGCGUGAGUGAAGAAGUAUCUCGGUAUGUAAAGCUCUAUCAGCAGGAAAGAAAAUGACGGUACCUGACUAAGAAGCCCCGGCUAACUACGUGCCAGCCGCCGC
rnacentral:rRNA from 1 species